rnacentral:sRNA from 1 species
UAGGUGUUAUUACCAGAAUCAGACAGAACUUUUUUUAAUUACUGUGAUAUUUUCGUCUUUUUCUUAAUACCCAGCGUGCCCCUACUAAACGUUACCGGAAAAAACAUAAUUACAGGGAAUGCCACUGCCACGUCAGAAUUUGCUGACGUGUAUUAAAUGAACUCAGCCGUAACGCGAUACAGCGACAGUUACGGCUGAGUUACGGUAUGUUGCGGCUGACUUACGACAAAAAUAUAUGAGUCAUAACAAAACGGCGAAGUAUGAGUAUAACUCAGCCAGACGUUACGUCUGAGUUGUAAAAUGUUGCCUGAGUUAUACUAUAACUCAGGCAACGGUAUGGUUGAGUUAAGGAAUGUCGGCCGAGUUAUAAGAAGUUAUACGAUAACCCAGACAACGUUAUGGCUGAGUUAUGAGAAAACGGCUGACUUAUUUCCUCGACACGACCGAGUUAUAGUUUUGGACGGCUUAGUUAUGGAAUGAUGUGACGGCUGAGUUAUGAUCGAGUGUUAUAAAUCAGCCGUAAAGAGCUCGAUUACUAAAUAACUCAGCCUUGUUACGGCUGACUUAUGUGCAAAAGAUUAAUUACUAUAAUAGCAUCCAGUUACAGCCGAGUUUUAAAACGUUACGGCUGAGUUAGUUGAGUUACGACAUUACACGGCUGACUUAACUUUGUUUUUUUUCCUUUUUUAAUUACUGUAAUAGUAUUCAUGUUGCGACUAACUUAUAGAUUUGCUUGAUGGCUGAGUUAUCAAAUGUUCGUUUGGUGGCUUAAUUGCCACCUCAUCAAUUCAAAACGACGUCGGCUGUAAUAUUUCAUGUCAUCAUUCCAUGUCAGCAUCAUCAAAGGACAAAAAAAA